UACGUAGGGGGGCUAGCGUUGUCCGGAAUCAUUGGGCGUAAAGAGCGUGUAGGCGGUCCGGUAAGUCUGCUGUGAAAGUCGGGGGCUCAACCCUCGAAUGCCGGUGGAUACUGUCGGGCUAGAGUGCGGAAGAGGCGAGUGGAAUUCCUGGUGUAGCGGUGAAAUGCGCAGAUAUCAGGAGGAACACCUAUUGCGAAGGCAGCUCGCUGGGACGUAACUGACGCUGAGGAGCGAAAGCGUGGGUAGCGAACAGG
rnacentral:rRNA from 1 species